UGCCAGCCGCCGCGGUAAUACGGAGGGUGCGAGCGUUAAUCGGAAUUACUGGGCGUAAAGCGCGCGUAGGCGGCUUUUUAAGUCAGAUGUGAAAGUCCACGGCUCAACCGUGGAAGUGCAUUUGAAACUGGGAGGCUUGAGUAUGGUAGAGGGAAGUGGAAUUCCGGGUGUAGCGGUGAAAUGCGUAGAUAUCCGGAGGAACACCAGUGGCGAAGGCGACUUCCUGGGCCAAUACUGACGCUGAGGUGCGAAAGCGUGGGGAGCAAACAGGAUUAGAUA
rnacentral:rRNA from 1 species